UAAUACCCUAUAGGUUACAGAUGCUGGAAUGCUCUGUAACUCAAAGCUCCGGCGCCUUAGGAUGGAUCUGCGGCCGAUUAGGUUGUUGUUGGGGUAACGGCCCAACAAGCCAGUAAUCGGUACGGGUUGCGGGAGCAAGAGCCCGGAGUUGGAUUCUGAGACACGAAUCCAGGCCCUACGGGGCGCAGCAGGCGCGAAAACUUUACAAUGCGGGCAACCGUGAUAAGGGAACCUCGAGUGCCUGUAUAUGCAGGCUGUCCAGGUGUCUAAAGCACACCUGAAGAAAGGGCCGGGCAAGACCGGUGCCAGCCGCCGCGGUAAUACCGGCGGCUCGAGUGGUGGCCACUUUUAUUGGGCUUAAAGCGUUCGUAGCUGGGUUAUUAAGUCCCUUGGGAAAUCCGACAGCUUAACUGUCGGGCGUCUAAGAGAUACUGGUAAUCUUGGAACCGGGAGAGGUGAGGGGUACUUCGGGGGUAGGAGUGAAAUCCUGUAAUCCUCGAGGGACCACCUGUGGCGAAGGCGCCUCACCAGAACGGCUUCGACAGUGAGGGACGAAAGCUGGGGGAGCAAACCGGAUUAGAUACCCGGGUAGUCCCAGCCGUAAACGAUGUGCGUUAGGUGU
rnacentral:rRNA from 1 species